GAUCCAGCAACGCCGCGUGAGGGAUGACGGCCUUCGGGUUGUAAACCUCUUUCAGCAGGGACGAAGCGAAAGUGACGGUACCUGCAGAAGAAGCACCGGCCAACUACGUGCCAGCAGCCGCGGUAAUACGUAGGGUGCGAGCGUUGUCCGGAAUUAUUGGGCGUAAAGGGCUCGUAGGCGGUCUGUUGCGUCGGGAGUGAAAACUCAGGGCUUAACCCUGAGCCUGCUUCCGAUACGGGCAGACUAGAGGUAUGCAGGGGAGAACGGAAUUCCUGGUGUAGCGGUGAAAUGCGCAGAUAUCAGGAGGAACACCGGUGGCGAAGGCGGUUCUCUGGGCAUUACCUGACGCUGAGGAGCGAAAGUGUGGGGAGCGAACAGGAUUAGAUGCCCUGGUAGUCCACACCGUAAACGUUGGGCGCUAGGUGUGGGACUCAUUCCACGAGUUCCGUGCCGCAGCUAACGCAUUAAGCGCCCCGCCUGGGGAGUACGGCCGCAAGGCUA
rnacentral:rRNA from 1 species